GAUGCACUUCGGUCAAGUGGAGAGCAAACCUGGCAGCCUUGUAAGCAGCCUGAGGUCUGGCUUGACGUUUAAAGUGACAGAGGUCUGCUAUGACUAUGCUAUGAAGUGCCCUUAUUAGCCCAGAGGAUUGCAAAUUUCCGACCUGUAGAUUAUUUUGGAAGGCCGCUGGGUGGAGACUUCAAUGAUUAAAAUAACUUCAGUGCUUUCCAGUCUCCCGUGGGUGGCUCGGGUUGAGGGGCUGACUGCAGGGGUAACCUGUUCUCAAGAUCUUUCUUUCUGCCCCCCUUCCCCGGUCAGGAAGAAAAACUAGAAGGAGACAAUCCUCUUUUUUGUGAAACCUGUCAGAGUAAACAGAAUGCCACAAGGAAGAUCAGGCUGCUAAGACUUCCACGCACACUGAACCUGCAGCUGAUACGUUUAACGUUUGAUAGACAAACCGGCCAUAAGAAAAAGCUGAACACCUACAUUGGCUUCUCUGAGGUGCUCGACAUGAAGCCUUUUAUGGAACAACAAAAUGGUGCUUAUGUAUACAAACUGAGUGCUGUUCUCAUACACCGAGGUGUGAGUGCAUACUCAGGGCACUACAUCGCCCAUGUGAAGGACCCACAGACAGGAGAGUGGUACAAAUUCAACGACGAAGACACUGAGAAGAUGGAGGGCAAGAAACUGCAGCUGGGGAUUGAGGAAGAUCUAGGUAAAAUCUUUGAGUUGUGAGUGCCCUUUUAAAAUAACUCUUUUCAUGGAGGCUGAAUACGUGAAGGCCCUGAUGCUCCUAAAAACAAAAGUGCUCCUACACAUGCUGUCACAUCUUAGCAGUAAGGUGUGAAAUGGCAAUUCUGUUAAUUGCUGCCAGAUCUUCACUGCAGCCCCGUGCAAGUGUUUACGCGUGCCUCGUGAUCAUUCCCUUUCCUCUAGUAUUUCUCUUGCUGCCACAUAACGUGCAGAUAACACGCUGAUAAGUUGUGCUGCUAUCGGGGUGGAGCAGCUGCUUCCUUGGCCAGCGUGCAGGAGGAGGCUCAGGAGCAGAUAACAGCACGGUUGUCAGUUUCCUUAACGCGCUGUUUUCAUUUCCACGGUGUUGUUUUAAUCUUUGGCUGUAUUAGGAGGCGGCAGAGAGUUCAGACCAGUCUCGGUCCAAAAAAUCCAAGAUAGCCUUUUUCAGUUUGUGCUUUUUGCUUUUCCUUGUGCUGCUGUCACCUCGCCUCCUGCUGGUGUCCUCUUACAGCGCCAGUAACCCAUUCCCAAAACACUCUUCCACCUGGGUGCUUCUGCUGUGCUGCAUUUCCAGCACCAGUCAUUGGACUUGGUGAAACACUGCCUUUUUUUAAAGCAUCCUUAAACAACAGCUUAAUGAAGACGUGCCCUUAGGUUUGUGUCCAAAGCCUGAGUGCAGCCGUGGGAUGCUAGCCUGCCUCUCCUCUUGCCUAUGCAACACCUGCAGGACGCCACUUUAUUUUCAGCUCUCUUGCUAAUAAACACCUUCUUGCAUUUCA